rnacentral:rRNA from 1 species
GCAGUCGACGGCAGCGCGGGGCAACCUGGCGGCGAGUGGCGAACGGGUGAGUAAUAUAUCGGAACGUGCCCUGGAGUGGGGGAUAACGCAGCGAAAGUUGCGCUAAUACCGCAUACGAUCUAAGGAUGAAAGCAGGGGACCGCAAGGCCUUGUGCUCCUGGAGCGGCCGAUAUCUGAUUAGCUAGUUGGUGGGGUAAAGGCCUACCAAGGCAUCGAUCAGUAGCUGGUCUGAGAGGACGACCAGCCACACUGGAACUGAGACACGGUCCAGACUCCUACGGGAGGCAGCAGUGGGGAAUUUUGGACAAUGGGCGCAAGCCUGAUCCAGCAAUGCCGCGUGAGUGAAGAAGGCCUUCGGGUUGUAAAGCUCUUUUGUCAGGGAAGAAACGGUGAGUUCUAAGACAGUUCACUAAUGACGGUACCUGAAGAAUAAGCACCGGCUAACUACGUGCCAGCAGCCGCGGUAAUACGUAGGGUGCAAGCGUUAAUCGGAAUUACUGGGCGUAAAGCGUGCGCAGGCGGUUUUGUAAGUUUGUCGUGAAAUCCCCGGGCUCAACCUGGGAAUGGCGAUGAAGACUGCAAGGCUAGAAUCUGGCAGAGGGGGGUAGAAUUCCACGUGUAGCAGUGAAAUGCGUAGAGAUGUGGAGGAACACCGAUGGCGAAGGCAGCCCCCUGGGUCAAGAUUGACGCUCAUGCACGAAAGCGUGGG